UGCAAUUGCAAAUAAAUUACUUCUUCACUGAGAUCCUCGCCUGAGCCUAAGUUAUUGGCUGUGGAGUGUUUCUCACACACCUUAAGGAAACUUUCAGCAAAGAUAACUAAAGAUACAGUUCUCCAAGACCAUUAGAAAAAAAGUGUGUUUGUGUGGAAGAAAGGGGUUCAUUCUCUUAGAACAGUGAGCUGCUGCCUGACUCAUCCUUAAGCAUGGCUGGGCAAACCUAAGUGUUUAACACUUGCAGCUUUGGAUGUGAUGGGGACGUUCUGCUUCAGCUGGACUCAGACUGCGUGAGCCGGGAUUGCUUGAGCGCAAGCCUGGAGUCUGCAUUACGCUCCCUGCACAGUCUUUGCUGGGCACCUUCCAGGGUGUUUUUCUAGAAGAAGAACUGUGAGUGAUUGCAAGUCAGUGUCUCAAGCUGUACAAAUUUUCAUUUUGGUCCAACAAGCCAUCCAAAAUUUUGUGAGAACUAAUUCUGAGAUACUGGACUCUUCAGUCACCUGGACCCUCUGAAGACUCAGUCAAAUUCUUAAUGAUCAGUGUGUGAUCCAAUAAUCAUAAUCUAUACCUAAAUGAACAUGAGUCACUCAGUUGAUCCUUGGAGGAAGAUGGCAAUGGUGGAGGCAUUCCUGACCACCAGGGAAACAAAGGUUUUUCUGUCCAGUAGCAGAUCUGUUCCAAGUUCCACUUAGGAUGUGCUGUUUCUUGAUUUUGUAUCUCAAAUACUGUUACAAUUCCCUGUUCCAUAAUGGGUGUCAUCACACACUCGUGACCUCGUGCUCAGGCUUUGAUAUCACUGGUGGGCUGAUGUUCUUAUCACAGUGCCAAAAACAGGUAGGGAAAAAGGGGGUUAUAUGUGAUCACUCCCCUUACAAGUUAUGACAGUUUGCCUUACAAAAUGGUGUUGGUUAUGUUAACCAUAUUACGAAGGGUCAGAAGAGGGUACCAGUCACAGAAGUCCUUUCUGCAGCAACUCUGCUAGUUUUAAGACAGGUGAGGGUGUCUGAACCAAAGUACAGUUCAUCUCUUUUAAGACACAGCCUGUCUCUUUUAAGACUUUAGGCCCUGUUACAAAAACAAAACUAAGAGGAGAACUUGCAGCUCAAGCAAUGGGUGACAGUGCUGCCUCAUGCUUCUCAGUAUAAACAUCAUGGGUGAUGCUGACAUCUGGGAUUUUCCCUGCAUAAUUCCACAGUGGUUUACAAGACACAAUAAUUCCCUUCUGAUCAUCUAUGAAAGUGUGUGUGCUAUAAUAAAAGCAUAGCAAAUCACCAGAGGCACAUGGGACUAUCAGGUCAUCUGAGAGUAUGGAAAGUAUGAGAGGUCUAUUCAUUUGUUUCACUCAUGCUGUUGCCUUCAAACCAUUGCAUAUAAGAGUCCAAUCCAAUGUACUACUUUGUACAGCAACUCCAAACCAGUAAAGGCACAGGUCUUAGCUCCUCAUCAGUUGUUUGGAUGUUUUUGGCUGUUAUUACUCUCAUUGCAUUUAUCAACAAAAUUAGUAAAUAUCACUGCAUGUUUUUUUUUUUUUUUUUGUUUGUUUUUGUGAAGAGUAGAACUAGAGAAGGAUGUUUUGGCCAAACCCUCACCCCCAUGCCCCAGUAAAGGACAAAGUUGUAACAGAAGUGUUUGAAACUAUUUACAUUUUAAUGGCUAUUACCACACUGUGCAAAGAUGAAAUUUAAGUUAAUCAAAUCUGCUCAGCGAACUCAUCUAUGGGUGCUUAUCUUUGGCAGAUGAAGGUUCACUUUUUCAUUUUUUCAACUGAGAAGAACGGAAUUAUUUCCUCCAUGGCCUACCACGCUUACCCUGUGAAAUUUCAGCCUGAUAAACAUCAGGACUAACCUCAUCCACAAAGUAGACUGGUCCAUCCCACUUACGUGUCAGAAUGUUCACAGGGUAUUAUUUCCCGUACAUUACUGCCUCAUUUACACCCCACAUAACUGGUUUUCAGUCACAUGCUAACCUUUCAUCCAUAUCCAUUUGGGCUUUCCCCAGUUGUCUUUCUAUGUGUUGGUGAUCCCUAGUUAUUUCUAUGUUUCUACCUACUCAUCUGUAAUUACUUUAUGCUUGGGUCAGGUAAUCCUAUUCCAAACCAUGAGGACCUGGGCAUUCUCCUUUGCUGCCCCGUCAUAAAUUAGGACUAUCAUCAUGAGUUGCUUUAGAUUCUCUCAGUUCCAUGAAAAUGAUGGGGAGUUUCUCAUCCUAAUUCUUGCAUUGCAGUUAGCUUUGCACUGUUUUUCUAAAGCUUCCUUAAUUGUGUGGUUUACCUAAAUGUGAAGAUGUGGAGUGCCUGGCAGUGUAGAACUUCUGCUUUAUUCCUAGGGCUUUGCACAGUUUGUAUAUAACUUUUCUGAGAAAGGGGGUGCAGAGAUCAAAAUCUAUUGUAUGGGGCAGACUCAAUUAUAAAAUGAUGUUAAAAAACAACCUCGCAGUCAUGGCUGCAGUGUUGGUUACUUAAAGGUUCUACUACAACCAAAAUAUAUAUGUUGUUUUGAACUGUCACUGGCAGAGGUACCCCAAAGUCAAUCAGCUGACCAUGGUCAUUUAAUAUAUUGGUUCUGGACUGGAGUUUUUACUUCUGUGCAAUCUGUGUUGGCCAUAGACAAGAAAGUCAGUUCUCAUACUAGCAGUAUACAUUCAUUUUUAUAUUAGGUCUCCACCUAGUGUCAUUCACUCUUCUUGUGUUGUAAUAAUUAUUCCUCUCCUGUAUUGUGGUGAGUUGAUCUGAUUUAUCUUUUCCUUCUUCAGCCAGUUCUUUAAACUCAGGGUCCCCUUCCAAGAGGAUGCUGAAUUCCAAAAUGACUUUCCCAGUUCUGCCCUGAACACAAGUUGUUACAGCUGCAAGCAGGAUAGUGCUCUGUGCUGUGCUCAGACUUGUAUACAGCUUACUUGGACAUAUUAUUGACCCUAUUUCUUAUUUCCAGUGUGCUGUUUGAGUUUGCUAUUCACUAUGUUCAGGAGUGUGUGGUUCUGAUAACUCCUGUUUUCAUCUGGAAAAGAUUAGCUGUUUGUUGCCAUUGAGCUCUGUGCUACUGGCUUGCCAUCUGAAGUCUCCAGAUUCCUUGUUAAUUGAACAUGAAGGCCAGACUGUUGCUAGACUUGAUCUAGGCUGAGCCAUAAAAACCACCAGAAGAACAUUUGACAAUUCAAAUUCUCAAAACCUCCAGCAGUGCCUGUGGCUCUAUGCUGGUUUUACCCUGCUGGACAACUAAACUCCACCAAAACCGCUCUUGUACUCCUCCUCCUCAAAAAGAGGGAAGAAGAAAGUAUGAUGGAAAGAUAAAAAAAAAGGAUCACGGGUUGAGAUAAGGGUAAUUUAAUUAAAGAGUAAAUGGGGGGUUGGGGGGUGGGGUGAAAGGCCAUGUGGAAGCAAAAAGGGAAGAAAAAAAAAAUCUAUUCUCUACUUUUCAUCAACAAGCAAUGCUUGGCCAUGUCCUGGGAAUCAGGACUUCAAUACACGUGUCAUGUUUUUUGUGAGGACAGUCAUCUUCAUAACAAGAACCUCCUCCUUCCCCUUUCCCACCUUUUAUUGCUGCGUGUGACCUCAUAUGGUAUGGAAUAUCCCUUUCCAGUCGCCCUCCACUAACCACCCAUAUAGGGCUGCAGAUUCCUGGGACGGAGUUUUGACAACAGCAUUGAUAUUGCUGACAUUAUGAUGAGCUAAAACUACUGUCUGAUGUACAGUUCUGAUGCUGCUAACCUGACUCUCCUUGUUUUUACCCAAAAUUACUUACCUUAAAGUGGAAUGUACAGUUUUCAUCAUCACUUUGGACCUUCCAUUUACGUAACUCCAAUAUUUCAUAUUCCAUACUAGGAUGAGGCAAACCUUUUCACAUGAGCUGAACUUCUAUUCAUUUACAUCCAAAGUCUGGAUGCAUAAGCCUUGACUUGCCUGUUUGAAUUUGAGAAUUGAUGGCUCCAGUGCUUUCAUAGGAUCCAGGUAACUGGUGAAAAGGGGAGAGAUGAGUCUGGGUGGGCUAAUGCAGUAGCUCUUUGUAAAUAUAUUGACUUUGACUCUUGACUCUGUUUGACUCUGUUCCUUUUCCCACAUCUUUUUCUUUUUACAAUUUCUCUUGAGUUGCCACUGUAGAGCCAUGGCUUUUUUUUUUUUUUUUUUUUUUCUCCAAAGGGCUUUGUAAUAUCUUGGGAAAAAGUAAUUAGGCCUAAAAAUGACCAUAACGAGUAAAUAUUGGUUAGUGCAGAUUUUUUGUAGUGUUUCCAAUUUAUGAACAUCUAAGGACCAACCAUUUUUCACCCAACAACAUCUCUAAGUAUUUGACUUAGUUUUGAACUAACUGAGCCUUUUGCCUUUUGGUUUUAAGUCAUAUUUUAAUUGCAAUAUGAAGUACUUCUUCUCUGAGUUCUUUUGUUCUCUCCUUGGUGUGUGAGUGGAUUAAAAUGUCAUUCACAAAUGACAUUACAUACUGCUUGGGUUCUGAUCACAAUUUUUCUGACAUAUGUGAUUACAUGUGUAUAGACGAUACUGAAGGAAGACUAGUAAUCCUUGGGGGUGUGAGUGAAUGCAAAAAGAAGUCCUGAAAUACAAAACUCACAUUUGUAACAGAAAGCCUGCUGCAAGGGUACAAGGGUGUCUGUUACAGUAAUAAUUACUUACAAAGACACUGCUGCAAUUGCUGUCACAACUUCCUUUUAUUUGGCAACUACAAGAGUUUCCAGAGUGUACAGGCAAAGCUCUUUAGACCAAGCUUCGAAGUCUGAUCUCCUUUGUGCACAGGCCACAGAAGAACAUUACAGAUUGUCAACAUCUCUAUGAGAACACCUUGAUGUACAAAAUUUUCUAUUACCUUAAUUACUACCUCAGUCUCAUCUCAGUAUUUAUAUUUUUUUUCAAGUUGCAUGAUUGCAAACUUCAAUCAUUGUAUCAGCUUUAAUCCUACCACACUCCGUCUGUUUUGUGUCCAGGUUUUCAUGAAUUUACCUGCCCAAGCAUCAUCAGUUGUGGUUGCAAUGGGUCCAACAAUGGUAGUGCAUUAUGGCUAUGCACAACAGAAAUAACUUGGUCCUUCCUCAAAAUACCAUUAAAAAGUAUUUGACAAAUCCACUGUAAGGUAAUUUUACUUUAAGUUUGAUACACCCCAAAUUCUUCCUUUUGGACUUUUGCUAAUAGUGCUAUAUGUUAUUCCCUUUAAUUUAUCUGGUUGUAAUGUGAUGUUUUCCCAAACUGGGGCAUCCAGAUGGCCUCCAUCUUAGCUACUUAAAAUGACCUGCUCUUGAGGUUUUCUGGCUUGAGUUUACUAUAGACAGUGCAAUAAUGUUCACGGAUGCUCCUGUGUCUGUUAAGAACCUGACACAGUGAAAACUCUGUAACCAAAGUUACUAAGCAUGUAUUCUUUAUUACAGCACUGGGUGUGUGGGGGAUCACUCCACCUAACACACACACCAAGGGUUACUGGCAGUGUGCUUAUACUAGUGCCAUAUAUACAUAUUCAUUGCAUUUCCCAUAUGUCUCUUGCGUAUUCAUCAUGUCUCUGAAAAAUCAUUAACAUAGGUUUCCAUCCCUAUUCACAUGCAUUCUGGAGUUCUUGGGUGGUUGUCCAGUGUACGCUGGUGGUCUUUUGAUGAUGGCCAGAAGUCUUCCUCACUACUAAACCUGUGAUCUUUCCUUUCUUUGACAGGCUUCAGCAGUCAAGCCAGUUCUUUCUGGUUCCAUUAUCUAUGAAUACAGUCUUUUACUCCCUUAUCUUUGGCGUUGUCCUGUCAUUGUGGUUAACAUGCAAUUGUGUUAGCUAAGACCCACAGAAUCAACAUCCUUCACGUUGUUCCUUGUCUCAAACUGAGCCAAUUUUCCCAGGUUCCUAAUGGCCAUUUUGACUGAGUAUUGUCCUCAAGAAUCCACUGGCAAAGGCGUCAGGUUUUGUAGUGAUUUCUGGUGGAAGGUGCUCUAGUCCCUGCUUCAUCUUUCCAUCUCUGUGAAAGCUUCCAUAAAAGUAUCAAUUGAUUGGGUAUAGUAGAUCAUUAUAUUCUCAUAGAAUGGUAGAAAUACAAGGUUGGAAAGGACCUACAGGAUCAUCUAGUCCAACCAUCCUCCUAUCACCAACACUAAGCUACUAAAUCAUAUUUCAUAGCACCUUGUCUAAGCGCUUCUUGAAGUCUCCAAAAUCAUUCAAUUCCUUUCAGAGUAAAUAUCUGAACAGAUCUUCUGUGUAUUCCAGAGAUUUUGUAAAGGGAUUUCCAUAGGCUGACUUGAUCUGCACCUUUCAAUAGCCUUGUUUUUCUUUAUCCACAUGGUUUUGGUUAAAGGUUGGUCUCCUCUGGCUAAAGAUUAGACUACUGUGGGUAGAAGUAUUGAAGUUUGGGUUUUAUGAAAUCUUCUAUCCUGUCCCUGAAGCUGAGUGAGGGCCAUGAUUAGAAUAAAUCACAGUUUGAACAGGUUCACAGUUUUUCCCCUGUGACUGACUAUGCCUUCUGAUGAUUCCAGUGUGCUACGACAGUGCAAUUACUCUCAAAAGAGAGGAUUAUGACUCUUCACUGGGAAUAACGGGGAUAAAAUCUGUUGCAUCCACCUGCUAAGGUUUAUGUCUGGUUUGGCUAAAGUUUGUAACUCUUCCCUAAGCAUACGUGUAUCUGUGUUAGACAGACUUCCAUGAGCCAAGUUGCAUCUCCUCCACCUAAAUGUGGAUACAUGCUCUGCUCUUGAUUGUACCAAUUACAGUAUUCCUAUAUGAAGGGCCUAAGCAUUCUGCAAUGGACCCUCAUGGGGCUUCCACUGGAUAAUUUCCUGUACUUCUCAUUGGACACUUGCUUUGCUAUUUCCCAUUAUUCCAACCCUUUAUGUCACUAUAGUGCUGACUGGGUGAAUUCUCCCCAGCUCAGGACUGGAAGGAACUUCUAGCAGUGUGUCUUUGGGAGAAGGCUGACAAAGUCUGGAAAAAAAAAAUUGCACGAGAAAGUUCAAGGUUUAGAAGAAUAUCAAAAAUUCCUUCGGCCUUCACAACAGCUAUUAACACUUCAUGCAAAGGAAAUUUUCUCUUAGAUCUGCAAUGACUGAAUUGAUAAAUUGAUUACAUGGCUUUAAGUUGCUUCUGCUAGGAACUAAGCUGCUGUUCUAGCUUUCUCUAGCUCAUUUUCUAAACCCUUCUCUAAGUCUUGAACUUUUUCAACUUCUAAUUGUUUAGUUUGCAAACAAAGGUCCUAUGUACACAAGCCCUAAGAUUUUCUUUUCUGAUUAAGAUGGUGUUCUGUUAAUUUUAUCCUCCUUGGAUUUUGAAUUUCUAAGUUCUUUACCUCCUCAUCUUUUUCUCCUAGUUGAUCCUAUGCAUGAUGUGAGGCAUACAACAGAGUCCAGAUAUCCCAAGAGUCAAUUUUAUUUCCUUUCAGUUUGGUCAAUUUGCAAUGUCUAGUGUAUGUUUCACACGUAGCAGACAUAGAAUCUGCUACUUAGGACAGCUGAUGCUCCAUGGGCAUUUCCAUCAUUUAAUCACCCACUUAUGAAGGUUAGUAACAUUUUUUAGCUUGAGCUGCAUGGUCUAUCUUAUCACUUUCCAUACUGCCUUUACACAAACAGUGUUGAGAAUUUUGUUGCUUCUAUAGGUUAUAAAAUAAGAAGUGUUAAGAGUGACUUCUGUAAGAACCAAUUCUAGAGUUCCAUUUUUUUUUUACCUGGAGGAUGCAGAAAGCCAGGCUAAACCUGCACAAGCCAUCCGCUUUUACUGAAGGACCUGUCCCUCAGUUUAUGGGCUGCCGAAUAAAACUAAGAUGUGUGUGCUCCUUAGGACAGCUUCUUGCAUGAAAUACUGUUUGAGAACAACUAGAAUCGUCUUGGGGACAAUACCUGAAAUCAUCAGACCACAUGUGAUAUCCAAAAAAGUCAUUUGUUGAGAAAUUUUUGCACUCACUUGCAAGGAAUGUGUUCAUUCCAACACACCUACAUUAUUGUUUCUUUACCCUGUAAAGGGAGGAGAAAUUAAAAAGGAAAUGCUAGACUAUAGCAUCUAAUUCUGGGCAGUUGUAGUGGUCUUCUCCUGGCAACAAAAGAGAGGUUCCAGAGAGCCAAUACCUUGGGAAACCACUGAGAGCAGGAUCAUGCUUAGUGGUGCAGAAUCUGAUUGGAGGCCUGUACCUAGCGGUGUGCCCCAGAGGUCGGUACAAGGUCUGGUGUUGUUCAAUUUAUAUAUCAACAACCUAGACAAUGGAACAGAGUGCAUCCUCAGCAAGUUUGCUGAUGACACAAAGCUUGGAGGAGUGGCUGAUAACCGCAGAGGGCUGUCC